GGCUUAAUGGUCUAGUAGUAUGAUUCCUCCUUCGGGGUUCGUCCCGCUUUGAGUGCAAAGCAAUGUUGGAGGAGGUCCUGGGUUCAAUUCCCAGUUAAGCCC